GGUGCUGAGAAAAUUUUGUCAAUGAAUGAAUCAGGAGAACUGCAAGACCUCUUAACCAAAAUUGAGAGAGUGCAGCAUCCACACGAGUGUCCCUCCUGUGGAGGCUUUGGCUUUCUUCCGUGCUCCAUCUGCCACGGGAGCAAAAUGUCAGUGUUUCGAAACUGCUUUACGGACUCUUUCAAGGCCCUGAAGUGCACGGCUUGCAACGAGAAUGGCCUUCAGCGCUGUAAGAGCUGUGUUGGUUAAACAGAGUUCCCACCCAUGGGGCACCUGGUUUCAUUGACUGAAAGUAAUAAUUUGGUUUAUACUUUUUUUUAAAAAAUGGCUAUGUUUCUGGAUUAAUCAAUAAACUUUGUUUAUAAUAA